GUCCUUGUGCGCCGAAUCGUCACCGUAUGGUGUGCUUGGCUGGCAACUCGCCAGCCUAGGCCGCAAGGGCGACC
rnacentral:sRNA from 12 species